rnacentral:rRNA from 1 species
AACGUAGGUACCGAGCGUUAUCCGGAUUUACUGGGCGUAAAGCGCGUUCAGGCGGUUUGGCAAGUCGGGCAUGAAAUCUCUCGGCUCAACCGGGAGAGGUUGUCCGAUACUGCUGGACUUGAGGGCAGUAGAGGGUGGUGGAAUUCCGGGUGUAGUGGUGAAAUGCGUAGAUAUCCGGAGGAACACCAGUGGCGAAAGCGGCCACCUGGACUGCACCUGACGCUGACACGCGAAAGCUAGGGGAGCGAACGCG